rnacentral:rRNA from 1 species
CUAGUAAUCGCGGAUCAGCAUGCCGCGGUGAAUACGUUCCCGGGCCUUGUACACACCGCCCGUCACACCAUGGGAGCCGGUAAUACCCGAAGUCAGUAGUCCAACCUCGUGAGGACGCUGCCGAAGGUAGGAUUGGCGACUGGGUGAAGUCGUAACAAGGUAUC